rnacentral:tRNA from 1 species
GGCUCACUAGCAUAAUUGGUAGUGCAUCGUCCUUCAAGAGAGUCUUCUAAAGAGGGCCCUCUUGAAGGCGAAAGUCCCUAGUUCGAGUCUGGGGUGAGUCACCA